GGAUGGCCGAGUGGUCUAAGGCGCCAGACUCAAGCUUACUGCUUCCUGUGUUCGGGUCUUCUGGUCUCCGUAUGGAGGCGUGGGUUCGAAUCCCACUUCUGACACAGCCUGAUCUUUUGUUUUUCCCUACCAGAUUUGUACCGAAAGUUUCGCCAAGGAAUGCCACAAUAGUUCAGCCGUUUCUACCUCCAAGAUUUCCCUCCCCAACCGAUGUUCGCCAAACAGGGUCUCGCAAAGAGAGAGGCAUCUCUCUUACAUCAAACCAAUCGACAAAGGAAAACCCCAC
rnacentral:lncRNA from 10 species